CACGGAAAUUAUGUUAGUUUGAAUCAACAAACCUGUUUGUUAGAAACACAUAUCUUGGUUUAUGAAAGCAACAAACCAAUUUAAUAAAUUUAACAAUCGCAUAUUAUUGAUUCCACAAACAUUUUGUCAGUUUGGCAAACAUGUUUGUUGCCUUUGAUUUGAUUUUUCUCAACGUGUACUGAAAAUUUUGAGUGUAUAUUUUUCACCCUCACUGAAUUAUAAAGAUGGCCGAAGUGAAAAAGGACGCGAAAUGUUUUCUUUGUACGGCUUUAAAAAAAUAAUGCCGAAGAAUGUGGCAAGGUCGAUUACUGGUCCAGUUCCGGCGAAGCUUCCUGGUUUCCUGCUGUUAUCAGAUGACGUGACACCAUGGAGUGAGUGGAGGAUUUUCUUGGCUGCAGGUGCUGGACAAAAGUGUUAUUAGUGGAAUAUCGAGUGAUUAUUUUCUUUAAAUUUUAAUGUAAAAUGCUUACUGUGCAAAAAAUAAAUAAAUAGAACAUAAACAAACAACACUGUCUUUAAAAUAAAGAAUAAGACAAGAAGAAGAAAAACGUGUUAAACCAGAUUAUCAGUUUAAUAAAAUAGUUUAUUCAUUCGAUAAACAUGUUUGUUGAACCAUCCCUCAUGAUAGUUGAUAGAUUGAAAAUGUCAUUUUGGGCCAUAACAAACAUGUUUGUUGGAUCGACAAAAAUUGUUGGUUUGAUUUGGACAAACAUGUUUGCAGGCCCUGAGAUGACUAUCAUGUUUGUGGAGUACACCCAACAUUUU